CGCUAAUCUUGCCCACACGCCCCUGGCCCCCCUUCUCCCGUGCGCCAGCUCUCAAGCAUGCCCACACGCCUACACGCCGCCGCCACCGCAGCCCGCGCCCCCCGCACGCCGCCGCCGCCGCCUCCCCCGCGACAUUCGUCGUCGCCUCCCCCGGGACCUCACCAUCGCCGUCACCGUCGCUGUCGCGUUCGUCUGCGCGGGCUCUAGGGACAUCUGUUGUCGCCUCCCCCCGGGACCUCACCAUCACCGUCGCCGUCGCCGUCGCCGUCGCGUUCGUCCGCGCGGUCUCCGGGCGGACGCCGCACGCUGCGUCCAGGCCACCGCCGCCGCCUCCCCCGCGACAUCCGUCGCCCCCCGGGCCCUCGCCAUCACCGUCGUCGUCGCAUUCAUCGCCGCCUCCACGCCGACGCCCCGCUGUCGACAAAACCAAUCGCGCGAUCUUUCCGUUGUGGUAGAGGUGGCUGCAUUGGCGGUGGGGGGCUCGGCUUCUCGUCCUCGAUCUACAUCGGCGGUGGGGAGCUCGGCUUCUCGUCCUCGAUCUGCUGGUGAUGGCACUUUUACGUCAUCACCAAUUCGCCAUCUUAUAACGACACGAGCUGCAAGUAACCACGGGGUAUCCUUCGUGGCUCUGCAGCUUCACGUUGCAAUACAGUAGAUUGGUGGUGGAAGAGUAGAGGCUUAAUGUCGUAUCCCUAGGCCGCGGCGGUCGCCGGCGACGUGAACACGAGGAAAAUCGGUAGAGUAGAGCAGGGAUACUUGGGGAAGGGGAAGGACCCUGACCCCCGGUCUUGUCUUCUCUUAAUUCUCAGCAAAUACAAAAUCUGUUUGACUUGUACACGGCAUGGGUAGAUAUACCCAGAGGCCAGACACUGGCCGGUGGCCUGCCACACACCCAUGUUUACAACUCACGCUUUGCUUAGCUGGAUGGUUCACGCAUCUCUUCCACCGUGUCCGCCGCAUCGCGCGUGACACUUCCCCCCGCUAGAGGUGCUGCUUGUCCACAAGCAGGAGAUGCCGGAAAUUGUUGACGGAGCACAUGAAAAUCUUCCCAAGUUGCUGAAUCGACAGGCAGAUGAGAUCAGUUGACACGCACCUAAGGAAUUGCAGCAUUUCCCUUCUUGACCAAGCGACGUUCAAGAAUCUUCUCUGGUUGGAGUGUGACCGUGUCGAGGUGGACAAUCUUGGUAACAUCUGAGUAAACUAGAGAAUAGUUAGCAGUAAAUGGUUUCAACUGGGAGACAUGAAAGACAUCAUGGAUUUUUGAAUCCACAGGUAAUGCUAAACGAUAAGCCACGGUGCCGAUCUUCUCAGUAACAGCAUAGGGUCCAAAGUAUUUGAAGGCCAGCUUAGGGAACGGACGAUUAGCCACUGACGUCUGAGCAUAGGGCUGGAGUUUCAGCAGCACUUGCUCACCGACUUGAUACUGACGUUCAACUCGGUUUCUGUCAGCAUAAGUCUUCAUGCGGUGUUGAGCCUUGGCCAAAUGUUCCUUCAACAUGAGUAGAUGGUCUGCACGAUUUGUGAUCAACUCAGCAACUUGAGGAGAAGCGUCUGAAGCUUCAGGUGGGACAGUAGGCAUAGCCGGUUCAUGACCGUAGAGUGCCUUGAAUGGUGAAUAACCAAUAGCAGAGUGAUAUGAGGAGUUAUACCAUAGUUCUGCUAAAGGUAGCCAAGUUUUCCAUUGCUUAGGUUGAUCAUACACUGCGCAGCGUAGAAACAUUUCGAGGCACUGAUUCACCCGCUCCGUUUGCCCGUCAGUUUGUGGGGGAUAAGCUGUACUCAUCAACAACUGAGUCCCAUGCAACUUGAACAGUUCCCGCCAGAAUGAACUCAAGAAGAUCUUAUCACGAUCACUGACAAUGGUAGUAGGAAACCCAUGUAAUCGGAUGACUUGAUCGAGCAGCAACUUGGCAACAGACUGGGUAGUAUAGGGAUGUUUGAGCGGCAAGAAGUGAGCAUACUUGGUCAGUCGAUCUACCACCACUAAGAUGGCUGAAUAACCUUCCACAACAGGUAGGCCUUCCACGAAGUCCAUAGACCAAUCCUGCCAAGCACCACCAGGUAUUGGAAGUGGUUGGAGUAAACCUGCUGGGUGCUCAUUUGUGUGCUUAGCAUGUUGGCAUAUCUCACAUUGUUGAACAAAGAUCUCCACAGCCUAUUUCAGCCCUUUCCAGUAGAAGAGACCCUUAACUCGAUGAUAUGUGGCAGUAAUCCCAGAAUGUCCUCCAAUAGGGCUAGCAUGAAAAGCUGCAAUGAUCUUGGUUUGCAGGGCAGAAUUAUUCCCAAUCCACAAUUUACCUUUGAAUCGAAUCAGGCCAUUAUGCAAUGAGUAUCCCAAGGAAUCAGGACUGUGAAUAGCAAGCUGGGUGAGUAGUUGUUGAGCCAUGGAGUCUGUUCUGUAUGAAUUGGAGACUUCCUGGAGCCAUACUGGUUGAGCCAUUGAUACAGCCUGAAGUGCCAUGAGGUGACCUACACGAGAAAGAGCAUCAGCCACUACAUUAUCCUUGCCCUGUCGAUACACCACUUUGAACUGAAGUCCCAUCAACCGAGUCAUAGCUUUACGCUACAUGUCAGAAUGGAGAUUCUGCUCAGUAAGAUAGGCUAAACUUUUGUGAUCAGUCCGGAUGAGAAACUCUUGUAGCUGCAAGUAUGGACGCCAACGUUCCACAGCCAUGAUUAGAGCCAAAAACUCUUUCUCAUAAAUGGACAAGUGUUUGUGGGCAGGCCCUAAAGCUUUACUGAGGAAAGCUAAAGGCUGGCCAUGCUGGAUGAGAACAGCUCCAAUACCAUCAUCACAAGCAUCGGUUUCAACAAUGAAAGGAGUGGUGAAAUCAGGCAAACCCAGCACUGGAGUAGUUACCAUGGCCUCCUUGAGUUUGACAAAAGCUUGCUGUGCUGCAGAAGUCCACAAAAAUUGUUUGCACUUCAGCAAAUUGGUAAGUGCCUUUGCUAGCAGACCAUAAUGCUUGACAAAACGUCUGUAGUAACCUGUCAAGCCUAAAAAUCCCCUGAGCUCUGUAAAAUUGGUUGGUGUUGGCCAGUUGUACAUAGUACUGGUUUUGGAAGGAUCUGUAGCCACCCCAUCAGCAGAAAUAAUGUAGCCCAAAUAUUUUAGUUUAUGCUGAGCAAAGGAGCAUUUGUUAGCUUUCAGGUAUAACUGAUUGUCCUUUAAUUUGUCAAAGACUUGAGUCAGAUGAUCCAGAUGAGACUCCAAUGAAGGGCUAUAAAUGAGAAUGUCAUCCAAGAAAACUAAAACAAACUUUCUCAGAAAAGGACCCAGAAUAUCAUUCAUGAGGCACUGAAAAGUAGCUAGAGCAUUAGUGAGACCAAAAGGCAUCACUCUAAACUGAUAAUGGCCAUGAUGGGUUUUAAAAGCUGUUUUAUAUUCAUCACUGGGCACCAUCCUAAUCUGAUGAUAACCUGCCCUCAUAUCCAACUUUAUAAAAUACUUGGCACCAAAUAGUUCCUCCAAGAUUUCCUCUAUGACAGGCAUAUGAAAUCUGUUCUUGAUAGUGAGAUCAUUGAGUCUUCGAUAAUCCACACAAAAUCUCCAGCUGCCAUCCUUCUUUUGUACCAAAAGCACAGGAGAGGCAAAAGGGCUAGAACUGUGAGUGAUCAGACCAGCUGCCAAUAACUCCUUCACUUGCUUCUCAAUUUCAGACUUGUGUGUGGGAGAGUACUUGUAAGGCCUAGCAUUGACAGGAACAGCCUCAGGAAGUAAUGGAAUGGCAUGAUCAUGAACUCUGGAAGGAGGAAGAGUAGUGGGAACAUGAAACAAAUCUGAAUAGGUGGUCAUUAAUGACUGUACAGCAGGAGAAAUCUCUGUAGGUGUGACAGAGUCUGAUGCUUCCACCAUGGCAAAAGCCCAAACAUCAUUGCCCUUGCAGCAUUUGACCAAUUUGUCUGCAGACAAUGGAGACAGUUGUAAAGGUGGGGACUGCAUUCCCUGAAUAGUAACUAGUGUAUAUCCCUGCCGAAACUUAAUUUGCUUGUUAGUCCAAUCACAGGUCAUUGGGCUGUGCAAUUUAAGCCAAUCAUAUCCCAGUAUGCCAUCAUACACAUCCAAAUCUAGGACUCUCAUAUCAGUAGAAAUUGUGUGGCCCUGGCACCACCAAGACAAGGAAGGAACCAGUCGAUCUGAGAUAAGAACCUCCCCAUUGGGCAAUCUGACUUGUUGUGGAUUGGUGGGAAUAGUGGAUAGCCCAGCUUUGUGCACAAAUGCAGAGCUGACAAAGCUGUUGGAACUACCACUAUCCAGCAACAAGAGAAACACUUUGUUCUGAACUCGUCCAUGAAUUUGUAUGCAUUCAGAACCGACUGCAGAAGAAAGAGCAUUCAGUGAUAACUAACCGAAUUCCUGCUGCAAAGAAUCUUCAACAGCUAGUUGGUGCAAUAUUUCAUCAGUUAAUUAAACAUCCAGAUUAUUCACCACCAAAGCAUUGAGCUGAGGCUUGGGUCGUUUGGGACAUUUGUUUGCAUGGCCUGGUUCAAACUUUUCAGCACAAUAGAAACAUAGUCCAUGUGCCUUUCUAUAGUCCCUUUCUGUUUUUCUUUCCACAAAGCAGAGGUCUGCAAGUGUUGUUUGCCAUCAGACUUCCCGCCAAAAUUCUGAGGUUUGCCCUGAUACACUGAUCUCUGUGCUUUAUAUUUGCCUCCGUCAAUCAUUUUCUGUUGGAUCUUAGCCAGUAGAAUGGCCUUGUUAACUUUAUCAGGCAGCUGAAGCUACACAGCAGAUUGAAUAUCCUCUCUCAACCCUUUGAUGAAUUGAGCCACAAAAAACAAUUCACCUUAACCAGAAUUAUGCAUAGAGACUUGGAACUGCAAAGACUCAAACUCAGUAACAUAUUCUUCCACCGUGCCACAUUGUUUUAGCAUCAACAACUCAUCUAGGGCUUCUCUAUAAUCAUCUGAACCGAACUGAUCUUCGACUGCCUGUACAAACUGUAACCAAGUACCAACCCCCCCAUGUUGUAGCUUGUACAUUUGAAACCACUGGGCCGCAUUAUCAUCCAGAUGUAACGAAGCAGUCGUGACCCACAUAUACUCAGGAACAUUGCAAAUAUGAAAAUAAUCCAUGCACUUAUCACGCCAGAUUUUAGGAUGACGGCCAUCAAAACGCGGAAACCAGAGCUUAGGGAUGUAAUUACGAUUUCCCCCCCGACUGAUCAUGAUUCGAACGGCCAAAAUGAAACUGGGUGCGCUGGUGAUUGUUCUCACCUGAAGGAUCCUGCUGCGGAGAAGGAGGUUGCCUCGCCGAAUCGGAACCCACGAAAUCUGAAGUCAACUUAGCAACAUCUUGGCUUGCAGCGUCCACCUUGUGCAUGAGAACCUCUUGUGCUUGUGCAUACCCCUGCAACACUUCGGUGUGAUGACCCAAUUGAACACGAAUCUGCUGCUGGUCACGGCCGAUGUCGGUGACGCGCGCGAAGAGAAGAUCCAAUCUCUCCAUAACCUGAUCCCAGUGAGUGUCCUCAGCCUGGAUGUGCUCCUCCAUCCGGCCGAGGAUGAUUUGGGUCUGCACGGAGGGCUUAGGGGGAGCCGUGGUGACCGCACCGGAAACAAAGCUACCACAACUCGAAUUGAGGCACCUCAACGAGGCUCGAGCAGGGUUGCUAAGCCGCCGGAGUACAGUAAUCACGCCACGGAACCCACGCACAACACCGAAUCGUUCGAUGUUGCGCCCGUGAUGCAGACCACACAGUCCCGUCGCCUCGGUAGAUCGAUUCCACUACAGACCUAAGCGGCACAGAAAUUUGGGUGGUCGACGGCGCCGGAACGGCUAACCGGCGAUUUGUGGUGGCCGCUAGCGACGGUCAUCGGAGAGUGGGGCGGAGGACGCCGGAAUCGCGUGAUUCAUGGCGGAGCAGGUCGAGCGCCGAGGGAAUGGGCUGACCAGAACAGAAUCGAUCGGUGGGGUGGUAGCGGCGGCGAGGAAUCGCCCGAAUCUGAUACCAACUGUCGUAUCCCUAGGCCGCGGCGGUCGCCGGUGACGUGAACACGAGGAAAAUCGGUAGAGCAGAGCAGGGGAUACUUGGGGAAGGGGAAGGACCCUGACCCGCGGUCUCAUCUUCUCUUAAUUCUCAGCGAAUACAAAAUCUGUUUGACUUGUACACGGCAUGGGUAGAUAUACCCAGAGGCCAGACACUGGCCGGUGGCCCGCCACACACCCAUGUUUACAACUCACGCUUUGCUUAGCUGGAUGGUUCACGCAUCUCUUCCACCGUGUCCGCCGCAUCGCGCGUGACACUUAAUCUAACUAAACUGCGUUGUUGAACCUUUUUGCUCAGGCUAGUAGAGAGGGCACAUUGCACUUGUGUUGAGUAAGUAGAAGCUAUUUUCGCACCAUAAAUUCUGAUGACCACAAAUGAAUUCUGAAUUCUUGUGGUUCUUCUAUCCCGCUGUUAUCUUCACCGAGCGGUGCGUCUCUGUACUCUUCAUAUGGUGGAUAUCAGGGUACAAGCAAAAAGAUUGAAAUAUGAAAUGGAAGGGAGGUUGUUAUUAUCAGAAAAGCUGGGGAAACUAUCAGGUAUCUCCAACUUCAGUCAGGAGCAAAGAUUCAAGUAACAAGAGACAAUGAAGCUGAACCAGGUGCACAGACAAGACCAGUUGAACUUUCAGGCACUCAUGAGCAGAUAAGCAAAGCUGAGCAGCUGAUCAAAGAAGUUCUGGCAGAGAAAUAUUAUGCACCACAGCCAGGUGCCGACACGUUCUAGAUGAAAAUUGUUAAUAACAAGGUGGGUCUGGUUAUUGGUAAGGCUGGUGAGACUAUAAAGUCCAUGCAACCCAAGUCUGGAGCUCGUAUUCAGAUUUGUUAUCUUGUUCUACAGCAUAUUGGCAGCUGGUGAUUGAGGUUACCAAUGUCUGAAGCAUAUUGGCCGUGGGUAUAGCCUCGGCAUGGCUAUGGCAUGGAAGGAGAUUUUCAUAUGCCUUUCCUGUUUCUGAACAUAACUUCAUAAUAGGUUUUGGGCAGGUUUAAGACUUAAAUAUACCAUAACAUGAAUAAACGUAUUUCCAAACUGCUUCAUUCUUCAUAUCUUAGCAACUUUGUUCAGCCCAUUGUAUGGCUCUUCACAGAACAGCAGUUCAAGCUUUGAGAAGUCAUUCUUUGUAAUUCAUAUCGUUCAUUUCACAUGAGGCGAUGUUCUUGUUU